UUCAAUAAAAUGGACUCCAUCAAACAAGUGUAGUAUUUUUAAAGGCGCACUCAGCAAGCGGCGUCACCACAUUAUGAACUCAAUAAAUAACUUAAUGGAAUCAACCAGACUCAACCUAUGGAUUAAACGUAAAAUUUGGUUGUGUGUGUGUAGAUGUGUGUAAAGAACACUCAUUGAAUGUUGUGACUCUGCACUCUCAAUCUGCCCUUUGGGUUUUUCUCUUUAAUCUUUAAUGUAUACUGGCCGCAAAUGCCUUCCAAGUACUUGCCCUAGAGAAAGGGGCUGCAGCCAGGCAGGAUCAGUUGUUUCCAGGAGUUGCCUCACUCUCAACUGUUCAGUAAGGGAAGGGAUGAACCAUUUUAAAAAGACCAAGGGAUUAUGUUAGCUCAAACUGCCCAUCAUGACCAACAUAUUGGGCCCUAUCUUGCAUCCGGCGCAAUUGACUUUCUCACUGGCGCAUGUGUAUGGAGGUAGAUUUGUGUCUUUAUUAUGCAAUCAAACAGAAUAGGUUUGAGAGCCAAACUUUCCACACUGCAAUAAAAAAAUAGAUUUGAGAGCAAAACUAUCGACACUGCAAUCAAAAAAAAUUGUAUUGCAAGUAAAAAAAGUGUGAUAAAAAGAAUGUUAAUGGGAAUCCAAACGUUUUGUUUGCAAAUCCAAAAGUUUUGUUUGCAAAUCCAAAAGUUUUCAUUGCGAAUCCAAAAGCUUUGCGUGCGAAUCCAAAAGCUUUGCUUGCUGUUGAGCUGAAUCUCGUGGGCGGGACCGACGCCGAAAGAUGUAACACACGUCUCUAUUGGCCAGUCUCAAUCUGACAAAAUAAUGUUUAUUUUUUAACCCAUUGCAACAUCCACAGAUCAUUAAACAAAAGAAAAAACAUGCACCAGUUCAAACAUUAUUAGGGGUCCAAGCCAACAAGGUUGGAACCCUAUUGUUUUUGUAAGGAUUAUUAGGGGUCCAAGCCAACAGGUUGGAACCCUAUUGUUUUUGUAAGGAUUUGUAUACUUCCUACCAAGAAAGUGAUACCACAGCCCAAACCGUAAAUGGUGCAGACAUGCCAAUUGCAUGACUAGAUCCAGGUCCGUGAGGACUACGCAGACGACAAAAUCCAGACCUGCCGGUCACUAGGUGGCGCUAUACCAAGGAAUACGCGUUUGGGGCUAUAACUCCCACACCGAACCUCCCAUAGUCCAAAACGUUAGACACACAGAUUCACUGGAGUCUGCUGCAUCUUUUGGCAUAGGCCACGCCCAUUUGCGUCUAUGAAUUUUUUUCGCAAAAUCGCGAAAAACGCUAAACUGCCUUUUCGCUACUCCUCCCACAUUUCUAGACCAAUCGACACCAAACUUUGCACACGACAUCCUCAGACGCACACAAAAAAAUAAAUUCGAACACUUUUUUGAUCCGACCUUCGACGACGAAACGGUAAAGUUUUGAAUAUUGGUUUAUUAGCUAUGUUACACUUGGAAAAUCAUAAAUCCCCAAAAAUCCAAAAUUAGACAUCGGAUCGAGUUCAAAUUUUACACACAUGUCGGCGCUACCCUUAAUGGUGUUCCAUUCGGAAAAUUUCGCCACGAGGAAAGUUCUCUUUGGAAAAUUACGCCACAACACGGCGCCAUAAACGAGGAAAUUGUAUAUCUCCUAAUUGGCCAAAGGAAUGUUCUGAAAAUGCGUUUGGGGAUAUAUCUCCCACACCGAACCUCCCACAGUCAAAACCUUUAUAUCCACAGGUUCACGGUAGCGUUUUGAACACAUGCUUCGCGUUGUGCCGGCGAAAUGCACAUUUCUUGGACCCCUGCAUAACUGCUUGCAGUUCUAGUUACUAUUACUACGACGGAAGAAAUACCUGCGCAUUGAUUUUCUGUCCUCUCAGCUCCCGAGUCCCGCUCUGUCUCAUCAUGGACUUCAAAACUCCCUCUCUCGUUACUAACUGUAGAUGUUGCCAGGCUGUCACUCCGAUCGAGUCUGGCCAAUAGAGACGUGUCUUACAUCUUUCGGCGUAGGUCCCGCCCACGAGAUUCAGCUCAACAGCAAGCAAAGCUUUUGGAUUUGCAAGCAAAACUUUUGGAUUCGCAAACAAAACUUUUGGAUUUGCAAACAAAAACUUUUGGAGACCCAUUAAUACUUUUUUUUAUCACAUUUAUUUUACUUGCAAUAAAACAUUUUUUGAUUGCAGUUUUUGCUCUCAACCUAUUCUGUUUGAUUGCAUAAUAAAGACACAAAUCUACCUCCAUACAUGUGUCGUUGCUAGUUUGCAACUGGUGCAGAGCGUUCUUUUCCAUACUGCGCCGUGCGUCGGUAAAUUAGGGAAUGAUCUUGCGCCCCCUAGGGGCGGUUUAGCGAAAGGAGGAGGCGUGUUCUGGCACAAACGUUCCCAGGUGCUAUUUUGCAGUUUCAGUAAUGACUUGCGCCACAAACCAGAAAAUACCUGGUUAAAAGUCAGUGGCGCGUUGUUCAGAUGCUGUUUUAAGGGUGCAUGCAUAAUGUUGCUUGUGCACCUCGCGCAUACACUUUGCUUCUCUCAUCUACCUAGCCGCACAUUCUUGGUAAAUUAUUUGGGAAAGAACAGCUGAUACAGCAGUAAUAAGUUGUUCUUUUAAAUCAAUGCAUCUGCAAACACCUUACAGCAAACACAUAUUUUCUUGACACAGACAUUGUGUACAUGCUCAUAACUAUUAGGAUUGAUGAGUAUUUGAUCGUGAGAAAACAUUGUUUUACCGCGAGUGAGUGUUAGAAAGAAUGAAUGAAUGCGGACGCGCGUGUGUGUGUAUGUGUAAAAUAAUUAAUGAAUGCGGGCGCGCGUCUGUGCGUCCAUCUGUUUAAACACACGCCAUCUAAACAUGUAACACAUAAUACAGUCCAUGGCAAUUUAUAUUAACGGGGUGACAUAUGCAUAUUAGGAACACAAGUCGAUAACGAUAACGAUAAUGCAUGCAAUACUGAUAAGAAACAAUGUUUAUAAUGUAUUGCGUAUAUCAUUAAAUAGAACCACAGUUACCGAUAUCAUAUGUGUGUUAAGUUUUGUUUGCCGAAAUUUAUUUGAGGACUCAGUAUUUCUGAAGUUGUGGAAGACAACCUUAUUCCAUGUGUGAAUUAGGCCAUAUUAUUUGGCCAUAAACUGAGCCAUUUGAAGUUUGAAAGAAUGUGCAUCUGUCUCAUCGCAGACUGCAGAAGCGCUGUCAAAAUAUCAAAUGCGCUCAUGGCUCUUAAAGGAUGGGAGCUGGCACUCUCAUUGGUUUAUUGCACGUUACGGCCGAACCACACCUACGGGUAAUUAGGCUACUUCAGACCAACCCUUUUUAGAUUUGCGCCGGGCGCAAGAGUCAUUUUUGCGCCGAUAAAAUAGCAACAUCGCCAUAGAACCGCCCACAAAGCUACUUGCGUUUGGCGCUUCUCACUUGCAUUUCAGACCGUUGAAAUAGGGCCCAUUGAGUGCUUUCCUUCUGUAAUAUUGCACACCGAACACAAGGAACAUCGCUAUUUGCGUUCCCGUAAUAAUUGAUACAACUCAUGAACAUAUCUGCAGAAGCUGUAUGGGCCGGCAUCACUUUGGAGGCCAGGAAAUAAACGUCCAUGAAUUAAGGGCUACCCUAAUUCUGUUAGGAACAGCUUCAGCCCCUCAAUGCAUGUGUGUGUGUGUGCGUGUGCGCCAGUUGUAUGUGUAUCAGAAGUGGAGCUUUAGAGUAGAGCUGUAAUCCCCCCAUAGCUAGUGCACCUACGUUGUUCCCUGUAAUGGUUUUAGGAGAUUAUUUCUUCCGGGAAUAGAACUGCUCCAUUCUGUGCUGGUGUGCUGUGCCAUGUUUGUGAAUGAGACGUUUUGAUAGAUCCUAGCGAGAGUCGCACAGAGAGAGCGGAGUGGAGCUACAUAUUGGCUUAGUGACGGAUUUAUGCUAUGGAGCCUUUCACUUUGUCACUGGCCUCAAUUGUGUGUGUGUGUGUGUGUGUGUGUGUGUGUGUGUGUGUGUGUGUGUGUGUGUGUGUGUGUGUGUGUGUGUGUGUGUGUGUGUGUGUGUGUGUGUGUGUGUGUG